UCAUACCUUUUUCGAAGGGAUAGGGUCGGUUCGGCCGGAUUUUACACAGGUGUUGCAUGGCUGUCGUCAGCUCGUGUCGUGAGAUGUUGGGUUAAGUCCCGCAACGAGCGCAACCCUCAUCCUUAGUUGCCAUCAGGUAAUGCUGAGCACUUUAAGGAAACUGCCAGUGAUAAGCUGGAGGAAGAUGGGGAUGAUGUCAAGUCAUCAUGGCCUUUAUGAAGUGGGCUACACACGUGCUACAAUGGUGUCUACAAUGGGCUGCAAGGUGCGCAAGCCUAAGCUAAUCCCUAAAAGACAUCUCAGUUCGGAUUGUACUCUGCAACUCGAGUGCAUGAAGUUGGAAUCGCUAGUAAUCGUGGAUCAGCAUGCCACGGUGAAUACGUUCUCGGGUCUUGUACAACUGCCCGUCACGCCUUGGGAAUUGGUUUCACUCGAAUCU
rnacentral:rRNA from 1 species